rnacentral:rRNA from 1 species
GACGAACGCUGGCGGCGUGCUUAACACAUGCAAGUCGAGCGGUAAGGCCCUUUCGGGGGUACACGAGCGGCGAACGGGUGAGUAACACGUGGGUGACCUGCCCUCAGCUCUGGGAUAAGCCUGGGAAACCGGGUCUAAUACUGGAUAUGACUCCAUGACGCAUGUUGUGGGGUGGAAAGCCUUGUGCGGCUGAGGAUGGGCCCGCGGCCUAUCAGCUUGUUGGUGGGGUGAUGGCCUACCAAGGCGACGACGGGUAGCCGGCCUGAGAGGGCGACCGGCCACACUGGGACUGAGGCACGGCCCAGACUCCUACGGGAGGCAGCAGUGGGGAAUCUUGCGCAAUGGGCGAAAGCCUGACGCAGCGACGCCGCGUGAGGGAUGACGGCCUCGG